UACAGAGGGUGCAAGCCUUAAUCGGAUUUAUUGGGCGUAAAGGGCGCGUAGGCGGAACGGUAAGUCAGGCGUGAAAUUCCGGGGCUCAACCCCGGAGCUGCGCUUGAAACUACCGAUCUAGAGGGUAGGCGGAGAAAACGGAAUUCCACGUGUAGCGGUGAAAUGCGUAGAUAUGUGGAAGAACACCUGUGGCGAAAGCGGUUUUCUAGCUUACAACUGACGCUGAGGCGCGAAAGCAAGGGGAGCAAACAGG
rnacentral:rRNA from 1 species